rnacentral:rRNA from 1 species
CCAGACUCCUACGGGAGGCAGCAGUGGGGAAUAUUGGACAAUGGGGGGAACCCUGAUGCAGCGACGCCGCGUGAGCGAAGAAGUACCUCGGUAUGUAAAGCUCUAUCAGCAGGGAAGAAAGUGACAGUACCUGACUAAGAAGCCCCGGCUAACUACGUGCCAGCAGCCGCGGUAAUACGUAGGGGGCAAGCGUUAUCCGGAUUUACUGGGUGUAAAGGGAGCGUAGACGGCGAUGCAAGUCUGAAGUGAAAGGCGGGGGCCCAACCCCCGGACUGCUUUGGAAACUGUAUAGCUGGAGUGCAGGAGAGGUAAGUGGAAUUCCUAGUGUAGCGGUGAAAUGCGUAGAUAUUAGGAGGAACACCAGUGGCGAAGGCGGCUUACUGGACUGUAACUGACGUUGAGGCUCGAAAGCGUGGGGAGCAAACAGGAUUAGAUACCCCCGUAA